CUACUCGUGCAGAGAAUCACCCUAUGGCUAACUAACACUGCACGAAGGUUAGUAGCUUCUGA
rfam:Night-heron coronavirus HKT19, complete genome